rnacentral:tRNA from 1 species
CAAGACAUAGCUUAAACAAAGCACCUAGUUUACACCUAGAAGAUUUCACGCAUAACGAAUGUCUUGA